GACGAACGCUGGCGGCGUGCUUAACACAUGCAAGUCGAACGGAAAGGCCCUGCUUUUGUGGGGUGCUCGAGUGGCGCACGGGUGUGUAACACGUGAGUAACCUGCCCUUGACUUUGGGAUAACUUCAGGAAACUGGGGCUAAUACCGGAUAGGAGCUCCUGCUGCAUGGUGGUGGUUGGAAAGUUUCGGCGGUUGGGGAUGGACUCGCGGCUUAUCAGCUUGUUGGUGGGGUAGUGGCUUACCAAGGCUUUGACGGGUAGCCGGCCUGAGAGGGCGACCGGCCACAUUGGGACUGAGAUACGGCCCAGACUCCAAGGGGGGGAAGCAGGGGGGAAUAUUGCACAAGGGGCGGAAGCCUGAGGCAGCAACGCCGGGUGCGGAAUAACGGCCUUCGGGUUGUAAACCGUUUUCGCCGGUGACGAGGCGUGAGUGACGGUAAUUGGUAAAGAAGCACCGGCUAACUACGUG
rnacentral:rRNA from 1 species